ACGAAGGGGGCUAGCGUUGCUCGGAAUGACUGGGCGUAAAGGGCGCGUAGGCGGAUGGCACAGUCAGAUGUGAAAUUCCCGGGCUUAACCUGGGGGCUGCAUUUGAUACGUGUGAUCUGGAGUGAGGAAGAGGGUCGUGGAAUUCCCAGUGUAGAGGUGAAAUUCGUAGAUAUUGGGAAGAACACCGGUGGCGAAGGCGGCGACCUGGUCCUUGACUGACGCUGAGGCGCGAAAGCGUGGGGAGCAAACAGGA
rnacentral:rRNA from 1 species